AGAGGGCCAUCUCGGAAACCCUCAGUCUCAUGCCUUUCAACCUGCACAGCCGUGCCACAGAUCAAUGGUUUUCAGCCUUGACCACACAGCAGAAUCACCCGGGUUCCACCUCAC